UACGGAGGGUGCAAGCGUUAUCCGGAUUCACUGGGUUUAAAGGGUGCGUAGGAGGGCAGGGAAGUCAGUGGUGAAAUCUCCGGGCUUAACUCGGAAACUGCCGUUGAUACUCUCUGUCUUGAAUACCGUGGAGGUGAGCGGAAUAUGUCAUGUAGCGGUGAAAUGCUUAGAUAUGACAUAGAACACCCAUUGCGAAGGCAGCUAACUACACGAUCAUUGACACUGAGGCACGAAAGCGUGGGGAGCAAACAGG
rnacentral:rRNA from 1 species